UGGCUCUCGCAUCGAUGAAGAACGCAGCGAAAUGCGAUAAGUAAUGUGAAUUGCAGAAUUCAGUGAAUCAUCGAAUCUUUGAACGCACCUUGCGCCCCUUGGUACUCCGAGGGGCAUGCCUGUUUGAGUGUCAUCAGACCAUCAACCCAAAGGGGCUUCCGAGUCUCCUCAUCGGUGUUUGGAUCUUGCGGCCUGCCGGACGCUCUCGUGAGCGCCGGCUCCUCGCGGAAUACAUCAGCGGAGUCCAGUUGCGGUCCAAAGCCUUGGCGUGAUAAUCAUCUGCGUCCCGGCCUGGACUGCCUCAGUCUGUGUCUCCCUGCUUAGAACAGACAGAUUCUCCCCGCCCGGCGGGAGGGGGGGUCCGUUGACGAUUCGACCUCGAAUCAGGCAGGACUACCCGCUGA
rnacentral:misc_RNA from 1 species